UAAUACGUAGGUGGCAAGCGUUGUCCGGAAUUAUUGGGCGUAAAGCGCGCGCAGGCGGUCCUUUAAGUCUGAUGUGAAAGCCCACGGCUCAACCGUGGAAGGUCAUUGGAAACUGGAGGACUUGAGUAUAAGAGAGGAAAGUGGAAUUCCACGUGUAGCGGUGAAAUGCGUAGAGAUGUGGAGGAACACCAGUGGCGAAGGCGACUUUCUGGCUUAUUACUGACGCUGAGGCGCGAAAGCGUGGGGAGCAAACAGG
rnacentral:rRNA from 1 species